rnacentral:rRNA from 1 species
AGCGAACGCUGGCGGCAGGCCUAACACAUGCAAGUCGAACGGACCCUUCGGGGUUAGUGGCGGACGGGUGAGUAACACGUGGGAACGUGCCUUUAGGUUCGGAAUAGCUCCUGGAAACGGGUGGUAAUGCCGAAUGUGCCCUUCGGGGGAAAGAUUUAUCGCCUUUAGAGCGGCCCGCGUCUGAUUAGCUUGUUGGUGGGGUAAUGGCCCACCAAGGCUACGAUCAGUAGCUGGUCUGAGAGGAUGACCAGCCACAUUGGGACUGAGACACGGCCCAAACUCCUACGGGAGGCAGCAGUGGGGAAUCUUGCGCAAUGGGCGAAAGCCUGACGCAGCCAUGCCGCGUGUAUGAUGAAGGUCUUAGGAUUGUAAAAUACUUUCACCGGUGAAGAUAAUGACUGUAGCCGGAGAAGAAGCCCCGGCUAACUUCGUGCCAGCAGCCGCGGUAAUACGAAGGGGGCUAGCGUUGCUCGGAAUUACUGGGCGUAAGGGAGCGUAGGCGGACAUUU